AGCAGCCGCGGUAAUUCCAGCUCCAAUAGCGUAUAUUAAAGUUGUUGCAGUUAAAAAGCUCGUAGUUGAAUUUCGGGGUCAGCAGGUUGGUCUUGCCACUGGUAUGUACUAGCCUGCCGAUUCCUCCUUCUUGUAGAACCGUAAUGCCAUUAAUUUGGUGUUGCGGGGAAACAGGACUGUUACUUUGAAAAAAUUAGAGUGUUUAAAGCAGGCUAGCGCCUGAAUACAUUAGCAUGGAAUAAUGAAAUAGGACGUUCGAACCUAUUUUGUUGGUUUCUAGGAUUGACGUAAUGAUUAAUAGGGAUAGUUGGGGGCAUUAGUAUUCAAUUGUCAGAGGUGAAAUUCUUGGAUUUAUUGAAGACUGACUACUGCGAAAGCAUUUGCCAAGGAUGUUUUCAUUAAUCAAGAACGAAAGUUAGGGGAUCGAAGACGAUCAGAUACCGUCGUAGUCUUAACCAUAAACUAUGCCGACUAGGGAUCGGAUGAUGUUAAUUUUUUAAUGACUCAUUCGGCGCCUUACG
rnacentral:rRNA from 1 species